AUGGAUCGGAAGCUCACCUCAACCAGCUUCAAAACUGGUAGUGGCCUCCACAUCCAGGCUGGGGAGAGAUUGACGACGCCCUCGCCGGACUCGGCAGCAGAGGAGGGCAACCUCAAUCUCGAGCAAGGAGGGGCGAUGGUCGGGUGGGGCAGCCAAGCGUGCGCCACUUCCUUCUCUCCACUCCCAGAUCCAAGCACCACCAAGGAGCAUCAAUGGCUUGUACCUGAACCACCAACAAGUAGCAGAGGGGAGGACACAGUUUUCUUGAAGAGGAGAGGGGCGACGCGAGACCACACUGAUAACUUGCUGGGAGCGAGUCAAAGUGCAACUUACUCUUAA
rnacentral:rRNA from 1 species